rnacentral:misc_RNA from 1 species
GAAAUGCGAUAAGAAAUGUGAAUUGCAGAAUUCCGCGAAUCAUUAAAUCUUUGAGCGCACAUUGCGCUCCCGGGUACUCCCGAGAGCAUGUCUGCUUGAGAAUCAGUUUAACCUCUCACGUUGUUUAAAUCUUUAUUUUUAAAUAACGUGGACUUGGGACUAUUCUUUAGGCAAGAGAAGAAAGACCUUUAAUCUAAAUUUGACCUUUAGACAUUGCUAAGUUUUAGCGCUUUACACCUAGAAGGCAUGACCAAUGGCAAAGAGGGAAACUUCUUGAGCUUUAGACUGCUGAUAACAGGUUAGUUAAUUUUUGGGCAUAACUUGAAGUGUCGCAACUUAAAACCACACACGGUAAGCGUAAAAAACUUUUCAAGACUUUGAUCUCAAAUCAGACAAGACUACCCGCUGAACUUGA